AGCUUUUUGAGUCCGUGUUGAGAUUUCAUCAGACACCAACCCACUAGGGCUGAUCAGACGUCCAAAAUAAAUGAAGUU
rnacentral:pre_miRNA from 1 species